rnacentral:rRNA from 1 species
GGAAUAAACUUACUUUUUUUGUUAUUUGUAUUUUUAUUUAAAAUAAUAUAUUUUGUGCGUUUUUUAUUUUAGUAAAUAUUAUUGAAAUUAUGUUUUUAGUUAUAGUUAAUUAGUACCUUGAGGGAAAGUUUUUUUAUAUAAAAGAUAAAUUUAUUUUUUACCUUUUGCAUUAUGAAUAAUCGAUUAAUAAAUUUAAUUUUAAAUUUGUCCGAUAUUUAUUGAGUUAAUUAUUUAUUUUUUCUUUUGUGGAAAAAAAAGGAGUAAUAAAUAGUUAGGGGUGAAAUGCCAUUCGAAAUAUUAGAUAUCUGAUAAUUUGAUAAAUUGCUUUAGGCAGACUUUCUUAAAAUGAGAAGUUGAACUAUUAAGGAUUAGCUUAUUAGUUGUUAGUAAAAGCUUGAUUUUAGGAUAAUAAAAGUUUAUUUAACUGGAUGGGAUUUUAAGUGUUUUUCAUUUAAAUUGUGUUAUAACUUAUUAAAAAAAUAUUGAUUAAUUUUUUUUUAUAUUCUGAAAUUUUUAAUAAUUAUUUAGUAAAAUAUUUUCUAAAGAAAUUAUGAUUAUAUUAGUAUAUUAGUUUAGUAUUAUAAAAUUAAUUGAACUUUUGUGGAGAUAAAGUUAAGGAACUCGGCAAAUAUUUACUUCGGUUGUUUAACAAAAACAUGUCUUUUAGAAAAUAUUAAAAGUCGUGCCUGCCCGGUGAUUUAUAUUUAACGGCCGCGGUAAUUUGACCGUGCAAAGGUAGCAUAAUCAUUUGCCUUUUAAUUGGGGGCUGGAAUGAAGGGUCGAACGAGAGUAAUUCUGUCUCAACUUUAAAAAUAGAAUUUAACUUGCCAGUGAAGAGUCUGGUAAAUUUAAAAUAGACGAGAAGACCCUAUCAAGCUUAAAUUAUUUAGGAUAUAAAGUUAUUAUUUUUUAUUAAAUGAAUAUUUUUUAUUUAUAUUAAUUUUUACUGGGGUGGUAUGUAAAGAUUAAAAGGCUUUAUUAAAUUAAUAAGAUUACUAUUUUAAUAGCUAGGUGUUAAAUGAUCCAAAUUUUUGAUUAUAGGACUAAGUUACUGUAGGGUUAACAGCAUGAUUUUUUUGAGAGUUUUAUCGACGAAAAAGAUUAUGACCUCGAUGUUGGAUUAGAAUUAUUGUUAGGUGCAGCAGCUUGAAAUAUUUAGUCUGUUCGACUAUUAAAAUUCUACAUGAUCUGAGUUCAGACCGACGUAAGUCAGGUUAGUUUCUAUCUUUUUAAAUUAUUAAAUUAUAUUAUAAUAGUACGAAAGGAUUUUGUAGUAAAAAUUAUUUUAUUAAAGGAAAUUUUUAAUUUUUAGUA